AAUGUGCUACAUUCAGGGAUUAUAAUUUAUAGUUCUUGGUUUGAGAAAUGUCUUUCUAAAGUGUUUGGUCUUGCUAUUCACGGUGAUGAGAUUGAGUACUCCUUUCUGAGCGCGAAGCGGGCCGUGAUCGAAGAGUUUACUCUUCUGAUGUCUGCUUUUGAUGACCCUUCCUUGUUUCCCCUGGGGAUUUGGAGGAACGGAGUAUAAUCAGAGUGGU
rfam:Salmo salar isolate Sally breed double haploid chromosome ssa07, whole genome shotgun sequence.